AAAGAUCGGCAAAAGUCAUAUGACGUAUUGAUCAAAAUUGGUCACGUGUCAAGUCGUAUAAACAUUCGUCAGCAAGAGCUGGGUGACGCGGGAUAUGUAAAUUGAUCAAAUCGUGCUGAGAUAGCACAACAUUUAAUAGCAUAAAGGAACAGUUUGUUUUGUCGUUGUCGUCGUUGAAACAGAUGAUACCGUUGAAGUUUGCCUGUAAAAUAUUUGCUGAAAGUUUAGAGAAAAAUUGAUAAACUAUUCAUGAAAUAAUAGAGAUAAAUAUAUGGAAAAAAUUAUACCUGAUAAGAAUGGUGAAUGUUUGGAGACUUUCCUUGUACAAAAACAGAUGG